UACGUAGGGUGCGAGCGUUGUCCGGAAUUACUGGGCGUAAAGAGCUCGUAGGUGGUUUGUCGCGUUGUCCGUGAAAACUCACAACUCAAUUGUGGGCGUACGGGCGAUACGGGCAGACUGGAGUACUGCAGGGGAGACUGGAAUUCCUGGUGUAGCGGUGGAAUGCGCAGAUAUCAGGAGGAACACCGGUGGCGAAGGCGGGUCUCUGGGCAGUAACUGACGCUGAGGAGCGAAAGCGUGGGGAGCGAACAGG
rnacentral:rRNA from 1 species